UCUAACAUGCCCGCGAGUUCAACAUUGCAGAUGAUGGGCGUGCGAAAGCGAAAAGUAUUUCACUACUAGCGGAGCGCGUAUGUUAGGUCCCGAAAAAUGGCGAACUAUUUCUGCUCAGGCUGAAGUCAUUGGAAACUUUGAUGGAAGGUCUCAACGGUUUUGACGUGCAAAUCGAUCGUGUGAAGCAGGUAUAGGGGCGAAAGACCAAUCGAGCCAUUUAGUUGCUGGUUCUCUCUGAAGUUUCCCUCAGGAUAGCGGUCCCUACAGAAUAAUGUGCGGUAAAGAGAAUGAUUAGAGGUAUCUGGGAAAGCUUUUCCUAGGCCGAUUUUCAAACUCAGAAUGCGCAUCAAUGAUUUCUCCAUGAAUUGUUGAAUUAUCUUAGGGAUCAGUGGGCCUUUUUUGGUAAGCAGAUCGGGCGAUGAGGGUUCCUCCUAGAGUCGAGAUAACGUGCUCAAAGCUACAUCAAUUAAAUGAUGUCAGUGCAUACUGACAGCAGGAGGGUGGCCAUGGAAGUUGGAAUCCACUAAGGAGUGUGUUACAACUCACCUGCCGAAUGUACUGGCUCAGAAAAUUGAUAGCUAACCCGUAGCAACUAAUUCUCGACGCUAAGUAAGAGAGCGUAGUGGUCGGAUAGAAUCCAGAGCGUGAGCCUUGGUCGACCGGCCACCAUUGCAGAUCUCGGUGGUAGUAGCACUUGCUAAAAUGGAACCUUUUAGGACCACUUGGACGAAGGUUCCACGACAACAGCCAAUGUUCGUGGGUAAGUCGGCCUUAAUCGCGCAGUCGAGAAAAGCAACCAGGUUAAUAUUCCUGGACAACACAGGAAAACGGCAACGUUUGCGCGGGUAUUUGUUAGGUGUUGGAAGGAGGGGGACUUUCGUCCCUCUUAACAGCUGUACGCCUCUGGAACUGUGUGAAACAGAGAUAGAGGCAGACACUGGAAUAAGUACCUCUUGCGGGUACUCCUGAGCCAGCACUUGACCUCUGAAAAAUACCCGCGUUCUGUGGUGUAGCCGUACCAAUAGCCGCAUCAGGUCUCCGAGACGCAAAGUCUUCGGUUCAAUGGAUGAAUGUAAGCAAGGGAAGUCGACAAGUUCGAUCCGUAACUUCGGGAAAAGGAUUGGCUUCGUGGACUUAGUGAGGAAUGUCUGUCCUAGCGAGGAAUGUGACUCUACCGAGUUGCUCCUACGCUGGGCACAGCAACCUCACUAGCAAUACAUGAAACUGACGCGCAAACGAGGAAUCUGACUGUUUAAUCGAAACGUAGCAUCAUGCAGCGUGGUGUGGACAUGAUGUGAUUUCUGCUCAGUGCUUUGAAAGUUAAAGUUGAGCAACCGACAGAAGCGCAGGUCAACAGCGGGAGUAACUAUGACUCUCUUAAGGUAGCGAAAUGCCUCGUCAUCUAAUUAGUGACGUGCAUGAAUGGAGCAACGAGAUUCCUACUGUCCCUGUUUACUAUUCAGCGAAACCACAGCCAAGGGAACGGGCUUGGUACACACAGCGGGGAAAGAAGACCCUGUUGAGCUUGACUCUAGUCUGGAUCGGUUUGGCGACUUGUCAGGUGUAGCAUAGGUGGGAGAGUUUCGCCAAUGAAAUACCACUACUGACAUAGUUUCUGAACCCACGAUGUUCGUGCAGCAUCAGGAUGCAUUUUCAUCGGCAAAUCCAGAUCGGGAGUUUGGCUGGGGCGGCAUAUCUGUUAAAAGAUAACGCAGGUGUCCUAAGACGAGCUCAGGCAGAUCAGAAAUCUGCCGUAGACUGACAGGAGAAAGACUCGCUUGAUUGUAGUCUCCAGUACGGACUACAAAUGCUAACGCAUGGCCUAUCGAUCCUUACGCGUUGACUUUUUCAGCUAGAGGUGUCAGAAAAGUUACCACAGGGAUAACUGAUUCGUGGCGACCAAGAGUUCAUAUCGACGUCGCUUUUUGAUCCUUCGAUGUCGGCUCUUCCUAUCAUUGUGAAGCAGAA
rnacentral:rRNA from 1 species